CGGCCCACCUGGGCGACGAUCGGUAGGGGUUCUGAGAGGAAGGCCCCCCACACUGGAACUGAGACACGGCCAAGACUCCUACGGGAGGCAGCAGUGAGGAAUAUUGGUCAAUGGGCGGAAGCCUGAACCAGCCAAGUAGCGUGCGGGACGACGGCCCUAUGGGUUGUAAACCGCUUUUUCACGGGGAUAAAGUGCGCCACGCGUGGCGGCUUGCAGGUACCGUGCGAAUAAGGACCGGCUAAUUCCGUGCCAGCAGCCGCGGUAAUACGGAAGGUCCGGGCGUUAUCCGGAUUCAUUGGGUUUAAAGGGAGCGUAGGCCGCAUGUCAAGCGUGCUGUGAAAUCCCGGGGCUCAACCCCGGAAGCGCAGCGCGAACUGGCGUGCUUGAGUUGCAUCGAGGCAGGCGGAAUUCGUGGUGUAGCGGUGAAAUGCUUAGAUAUCACGAAGAACCCCGAUUGCGAAGGCAGCCUGCCAGUUGCACACUGACGCUGAUGCUCGAAGGCGCGGGUAUCGAACAGGAUUAGAUACCCUGGUAGUCCGCGCGGUAAACGAUGGAUGCCCGCCCUUGGGCCGCUACGGUUCAGGGGCCAAGCGAAAGCGUUAAGCAUCCCACCUGGGGAGUA
rnacentral:rRNA from 1 species